GCACCCCAUGGCAAAGUCUGCAAGGAGUUAAGAUUGCAGGGGAGAGCCGGAGGAGCAAGCGCAGUCAAUUUUGUUGUUUAAGCUGCGAAAACAAAGUUACAGACUUAACUGCUUUGAUUUGGUUUUCAGCGAAAUGACAGAUAGCCAGAAAGAAAGCGGCGGGUCCAAGGCGAGGAGCUGGGGACUUUUAUCCAUUCUUCUUUAAUGUUACUGUUACUGAGCCUUAGCUCCAGCUCCGGGAGGCUGGGCUCGAUCUUUGAGGAGCUCGUAAGCUGCUGCAACUUAGUGGAGAAUUUCCAUGCCACGUCAAUUUACAGCCAGCCAGCCCCCUACCAGAGUUCUGCGGCUCAGGGCACCGACGGGCUUUGUCUCACCCAGUUGGCUGAAUGGAAAAGAGGUGUCCAGAAACGGAAUUAAAGACAAAAGUGCAACUCUGGUGUGAUUAUCUACGGAUAGAAGAUAAAGUCAGUCAAAGUGAUGCGGUUCUUUCUGUUUCUUCUGAAUGGACUGUUGUGCUGUUAUACAGUAGCAAUGGAAUCUCUGCUGGUCACUGGCACCAAUUACGGUAUUGGAGAGUUGUUUAUUAAGUAUCCACUACCUUUAUCAAGUGCCUGCCACUUCCAGGUACUUAAAAAGCACUGGAUACAAAAGAUGACUCAACAGGAACAUAUGGGACGAUAUCCUGGAUGGUUUCGAGGCAUCGUUUCCUGAGCCCUGAGGUUUGAUGAAGAUGUCCCAUUCAGGACUGAGUGUCCCACAGCCUCUCAUUCUCUGCACACUGCUCACUCAUGGCUAUCUAUACAAGCUCUCAUCUGUAGGACAUUUUUCUGAUGCUGGCUCAGUGAGACACUGAUCUAUGCAUACAGCAGAAUGUUGUUAGGCGUCAUUUUAUUGUUAUUGUUCUUCUAGCAGAACAGUAGUGUUUGGUUUGCUCCUGGGUCCAUGCCUGUCUAGUCUCAGGUUCUUGGCCAACUGAGAAGUGUCAGGGACUGGCUUUAUUUCAUGGAGUGGUCCCUAAAUCCAACCAGACAGUGGUUGGUUACUCCCACAUCUUGUGUGGCAUUGUUGUACCAGCAUAUCAUGCAGAGAGGCCAUCAUUGCAUAAGGAAAGGUUUGUAACUGGCUUGGUGUUUAGCUUUAUCCUCUAGUCAGUGCAGAGUACCUUCCAGGACCAUGAAUGCUAGUGAGCAGACAACCCCCUACUUUUAGUUUUAUCUACUUUCUACUUGCCUUUUGCAAAUUUGCAGAUCAACUAGAACACACAGACUGACUACGCCGUGGACGUUUGUUUCACCUUCUGUAGAGAACGCCAUCAGUCUAUCUUCUAAAUCAUCCCAAAAAGCAUAUCCAACUCCCCACAAGUCUUUACACACCAUGCAGAAGUCAAAAGGAAUGAACAAUAUGGUUGAAUCUUAGGAAGAAAAUGUUGAAUUAGAAAGGUAAGAUAGAGACUACGUGCCCCGCUGUCUUUUAAAAUGGUAAUUAAAUAUAGGCAGUGUUACUCAAAUGCAUUGGUGCUAUACAGGAACGUGAAUGUGUAAGUAAAACCUCAGGGCAGGCCGUGCAGUGGUGUAGCCUCCCCCAGCCUGAAGCGGGCUGGUACAGACUAGUCUGCCACUGAGGUGGGGCCACCUGUGGUGCAGCUGUCCGACCUGGCUGGCUCUUUCGAACUGACAACUGCCCUGCUCUUCUGCUACCUGCUGAGAAGCUGAACCCGUUUUCCUGAGAAUUUCCCGAAUAAGCAAGCGGCCAGCCUGGCCACCGAGUGCUGACGAAAUGGCUCCAGGCACCAAGUGUGGAGCCGGCAGACUAGUGCUAACUUGGCAACAAUACAUCAAGAAGCCUGGCACGGGGUGGGGGGUGGG
ensembl:antisense